rnacentral:lncRNA from 1 species
CUAGGUUUUAUCACAACGGGAGUCCCAUAGGGCUGUGCACAAUUGUCCUGAUAGGGUUUGAUGGGGUUAGGCAGUGAAUGAGUCAAGUGCCCAGUUCUGCAGUCUGGUGUCAGUCUGACCAUGUGACCUGCAGUGAACGGUCCUCCACCCUGUUCCUCAGGCUCUCAAAGCUGCAUUCUGGUUGGUCAAUCUGAGACCAUGUUAUGUGCAGUGAUCCACCAUCCCUCUGUCCUCUGGUUCCAUAGACGGGAUGGGCAGCCCCUCCCGUGGUUUCUCUGGAGCGUUGUCUUUCAGAAUCAGAAGGGUGCUGACCUACUUCCAACAUGUUGAAGGGGUGGUUACUGCCCACAGCUGGUGUUAUCCAAUAUAUGCGCUCUGUAUCAAACUAAGCAUUGUAUGUGGGCCAAAUCAUUAGCUAAAUCUUGUAAUGAAUGUAGAGAUUGGCCAAGUUCAAGAUACUAGACUAUUUUGUGUAACCCUGGAUUGUACACUGAAAUGGUACAUUUAAAGAUUCAACGGUAGCUGGGGGGGGGUGAGGUCUGAUAACGCUGCUCUGGUUGCUUGAUAAUCAAUUCGUACAGGCCCUAGUUUUAGCAGACCUGGGCUGCAGUCCAAACUACCCCUUCAGUCCUUAUUAAGCAUUGCAUAUGGGACAAUUCAAUUAACUUAACAUGUUAUCAAUUUAGCAAGUUGUGAAAACAUAUUGCUGUAACGGUAGCUAAAAUGGGGAUGUCUGUGAUAAAGCACUGCUUGUCGAGCCACAAAACAAAUACUGUUUUCACACUACUGCCCAGUUAUAUGUUAAAGUGCCACAAAGGACAGGCAAAUUAGUUGGCCCAGAACAGGGAAGUACUGCUGGCCCUUAAAGGAAUACUUCAGUUUUUAUUUUUAUGCGGCCUUUUAUUUACUUCCCCAGAGUCCAAUGUCCUCAUGGAUAUCCAUUUGGUCUGCAUCCAGUUUCAAAGGAAGUAGCCAGCUAUUGCUAAAUAGCAUUAGCAAAAUUAAGAUGUUUUGUGGUAUCUGCUAAUGCUGACUUACAAUUGCACCAGUUGGCUACUUCCUUCAAACUAGAUGCAGAGACAUAAAUGGUAUUGAGGUCAUCUGACUCGGGAAGUAGACAAAAGAGCCUCGUUGUCAAAAGCCUAAAGUAUCCCUUAAAAUGUACUCGUCACCCCUCCCUCUGCUUGCCCUACCUAUAAACUACUGAGUGACGCAGCGGUCUAAGGCGCUGCAUCUCAGUACUGGAGACCUCACUAGACACCCUGGUUUGAUUCUGGGCUGUAUCACAACUGGCCGUGAUUGGAAAUCCCUUAGGGCAUUGCGCAAUUGGCCCAGCGUCGUCCGGGUUUGGCCUGUGUAGGCCGUCAAUGUAAAUAAGAAUUGGUUCUUAACGGACUUGCCUACUACAUUAACAAAAUAUGUAUUUCAAUGUACCCUACAGCUGGUGUCAGCAACAGUAUGGUUGAUCUCCAGUGUGAGGACUGGUGUUUUAGUUUGAAUAUUUUUGUCAAUAAAGUUUUAUACCGUGUUCUGGUAUUUUGUGUGAAUUAAAUUGAUACUGGGUUGGUUUAUAGUUCUAAUGCAACUCUGCCUGUAUGACCCAUCACUGCUAUCCAUGCAGUAUCUGUAAUAGUGG